rnacentral:rRNA from 1 species
CACACGACUCUCGGCAACGGAUAUCUCGGCUCUCGCAUCGAUGAAGAACGUAGCAAAAUGCGAUACCUGGUGUGAAUUGCAGAAUCCCGCGAACCAUCGAGUUUUUGAACGCAAGUUGCGCCCGAGGCCUUCUGGCUGAGGGCACGUCUGCCUGGGCGUCACGCCAA